AGCUUUGUGCAGUGGCAGUAUCAUAGCCAAUGAAGUUUAUCCAAGGCGCGAUUAUUGCUAAUUCAAAAUGUCUUUCAGAAAAUAGUGGAGAACACUUCUCAACCUAUUCUAGAUUCCAGGACACUGU
ensembl:snRNA U4 U4 spliceosomal RNA